AGACACAUUACUUUUCUUAGAGUAGAACACGUUAGAGUUUGAGUGAUGGCAGUUUAGAGGAAAUCAGAAUAUUAGAAGUUUACCCUCAAGGAACAAGUGUAAAGAAUAUCCUACAGAAAAGGUGACAAAUAUAUGCCAUUUCCAUGUUCUCGUCACACACUAGACAGUACUACAGGAGUCAUCUUUCCUGUAGAACCAGUCUCACAGCCCUGCAAGCUUCCUCAUCUGGGAGUCCUUAUCCAUUGACCAGAGUUGGCCUGAGAAAGAAAAUCUGCUUGUUAUCUGUCUUACAAGAGAAAAAACAGUGA
rnacentral:lncRNA from 1 species